rnacentral:rRNA from 1 species
CAGCAGCCGCGGUAAUACGUAGGUGGCAAGCGUUGUCCGGAAUUAUUGGGCGUAAAGGGCUCGCAGGCGGUUUCUUAAGUCUGAUGUGAAAGCCCCCGGCUCAACCGGGGAGGGUCAUAGGAAACUGGGAAACUUGAGUGCAGAAGAGGAGAGUGGAAUUCCACGUGUAGCGGUGAAAUGCGUAGAGAUGUGGAGGAACACCAGUGGCGAAGGCGACUCUCUGGUCUGUAACUGACGCUGAGGAGCGAAAGCGUUGGGAGCGAACAGGAUUAGAUACCCCCGUAGUCCCUGUCUCUUAUAC